rnacentral:rRNA from 1 species
CCGGCACGGGUGAGUAACACGUAUCCAACCUGCCGUCUACUCUUGGACAGCCUUCUGAAAGGGAGAUUAAUACAAGAUGGCAUCAUGAGUCCGCAUGUUCACAUGAUUAAAGGUAUUCCGGUAGACGAUGGGGAUGCGUUCCAUUAGAUAGUAGGCGGGGUAACGGCCCACCUAGUCUUCGAUGGAUAGGGGUUCUGAGAGGAAGGUCCCCCACAUUGGAACUGAGACACGGUCCAA